rnacentral:rRNA from 1 species
GACGAAGGGGGCUAGCGUUGUUCGGAAUUACUGGGCGUAAAGCGCGUGUAGGCGGUUGCCCAAGUCGGGUGUGAAAGCCUUGAGCUCAACUCAAGAAAUGCACUCGGUACUGGGUGACUAGAGGACCGGAGAGGAUAGUGGAAUUCCCAGUGUAGUGGUGAAAUACGUAGAGAUUGGGAAGAACACCAGUGGCGAAGGCGGCUAUCGUGGACGGUUUCUGACGCUAAGACGCGAAAGCGUGGGGAGCAAAC